AAAGGCUUUAAAAGAUUUUAUUUUAAUUUAAACCCUAGGGUUUACACCCAUUUGAACUUUGGAUCUUCAAACCAAUAGGGUUUAUUUAUAAAAGAGGUUUAUUGCAUGUAUAACCUAUCCCAUAAUUUUUUUUGGAUAAUUAUUUGGAGUUGAAAAACUAUUUUAUUUAAAUAGUUAUAUAACCCUAAAGGCAUUUAUAGGGCAAAUGUAUUUUUGUGUAUUUUAUUUUGAGGAGAAACUACUCCCAAAAGUUGUAUCAUGAUAGAACAUGAUUUUACAAAUUUUCUGAAAUUUAUUUGGACCAAUUUGGAGUUCAAAAUCAAAAGAUAUCAAAGAAAUAAGAAAAAACAGAAAAAGAAAAGGCUAAAAGGAAAAAAAAAGAGAGAAAGAGAACCGGACCGACCCAACUGGGCCGGCCCCGUCUCGCACACACCAUGCCGUUCGCCCG
rnacentral:lncRNA from 1 species